rnacentral:rRNA from 1 species
UACAGAGGGUGCGAGCGUUAAUCGGAAUUACUGGGCGUAAAGCGCGCGUAGGCGGCCUUGCAAGUCGGGUGUGAAAUCCCCAGGCUUAACCUGGGAACUGCAUUCGAGACUGCAUUGCUAGAGUAUGGGAGAGGGAAGUGGAAUUUCAGGUGUAGCGGUGAAAUGCGUAGAUAUCUGAAGGAACAUCAGUGGCGAAAGCGACUUCCUGGACCAAUACUGACGCUCAUGUGCGAAAGCGUGGGGAGCAAACAGG